UGGGUCUUUGCAGGCAAGAAAGAAGACACCUGAGUUGCUGGAGUCUGAUAGGAGAGGAGGAGAUGGUUCAAGAUGAAGAAAGAUUUUGAGAAGUGCCUUAUGAAGCAGGAUAAGAAGAUUGUGUUUUUAUUCUAAGGCCUGGCAUCCCUGGGUAGAAUGGAAGCAGAGGGUAAAAAGAGAGGCCAGCUAAGGGGCCAUGGUGGGGGUGGAGGCUGGAACUGGAGUGGUGGUAGUGAAGAUGGACAGACUCAGCAAAUUUGGGAAACCGUCUAGCAGAGACAGAGAAAGCACUGACUGUCAGAUGGAAUGUGGGGAUCUUUCCGACCCAGGGAUUGAACCCAUGUCUCCUGCAUCUCCUGCUUGGCAGAUGGAUUCUUUACCACUGAGCCACCUGGGAAGCCCCUUAUACUGAAAGAGGAUAAAGUAAAGAGGGGUCCAGACUCACCUGGAGGACUGGGCCACCUGGAGGAGGGAGAAUGAAGAAUCUGUGGAGCUCAGUGUGAAAUAAAAAUGCGAGGCCCUUCGUUGAAAACUGGAGAAUUUCAAGCUGGACCACAUGACACCAGAACAUUAAACCAAAUCUUUCUAGUGGAAGUCAGCAGAAUGCCUCUGUCUGGAGAAAUGUGUGUUGACCAAAGGGAAAGAUUGGGUCAAGUGAGAACCGUGAUGGCUACCAGCAUCAGCUCCCUAGAUAACCUCAAAGCAAGGCCAGGCCCUCUUCAGGAAGCAGACGCAUUUUUCCUCAACUCUCCUAUUCAGGAGAGGAUCACUGUUGAACUCCGUAACUCCACAUGGACAUUGCAGAACGAUCUUAAAUGUUCACAGCGUGUGUGUGCCACUGUAUCCCAAAUGCCAGCUUUUUUACAAAAUUAAACCAAG